UACAUGGGGUGCAAACGUUGCUCGGAAUCAUUGGGCGUAAAGCGCGCGUAGGCGGUUACUUAAGUUGGAUGUGAAAGCCCUCGGCUUAACCGAGGAAGUGCAUCCAAAACUGAGUAGCUAGAGUACGAAAGAGGGUCGCGGAAUUCCCGGUGUAGAGGUGAAAUUCGUAGAUAUCGGGAGGAACACCAGUGGCGAAGGCGGCGAUCUGGGAAGAUACUGACGCUGAGGUGCGAAAGCGUGGGGAGCAAACAGG
rnacentral:rRNA from 1 species